ensembl:sense_intronic Gm43465 predicted gene 43465
AAAAAAUGGAAAAAAAAAAAAAAGUUCUUGAGUUUCUCAUCCAUCCCCCUGCCUCCAGGCUCAUUUUAUGCAGUGCUGACGGGUGAGCCCAGUAGUUCACACAACUUAAGCAACUGCUCUCCCAGCUGACUCCCAGUAGUACUUUAAAGUUAGCGGAGGAAUGGUUUCCAGCAGGCCCCGGUAACACAAGCACUUAUUUCCAGCAUUCAAGACACUGAGUUUGAGGCCAGCCUGGACUAUAAAACAGACGAAACAAAACUUUAAACUAAAGGGCUUUCAUAUAAAGGUUUCUUUUAUUGACCCCCUGGGAACAAAUAAAACCUUCAUUUAAAAAAAUGGUUUUUUGUUUUGUUUUGUUUUGUUUUGUUUUAAACCAUAUUAUUUAUUACUCCAGUGUGUCUUCCUGCCUGUGUAAGGGCAUGCAUGCUUCAGCAUGUGGGUGGAGGUCAGAGGACAACUCGUAGACCGACUUCACUUUCCACCUUUACAUGCCUUUUGGAGAUGGAGAGGUGGCCGGGCUGGCACAGCGAGUACCCCUUAUCCACUGAGUCACCUCACUGGCCAUGAGUUGUUCCUUAUAAAAGACAUUUUUGUGCAGAGCUAUGGUAACAUUGUCUAGGCUCAGAAACGAUUAGGACUCUUAAUUUGAAGCACUGGUAGCACUUGGAAACUCAGAGGGAGUUUGUCUUCCCCUUCUUUCCCUCAGUCAUCAGCUGUUACCAAAGGUUGUGACAAAAAUUGGCAAGUGUGGUUCUGCAGACACUCUUCUUGAUUUGAGAGUUGCCAUAUGCUCUCCCUUUUACAAGUUAUAUUUAUUUUUAAGUAUCGUUUGCCGCUAUUUAACAAUAUUAAGGGGAAUCUGUACUAAAUACCAGAUUGCUGCUGGCAAGUUGAAACUCUGCUACCCAAAUCUUAAAUCUCCAUUUACUCGGAUGAGAGGACAACCCAGGUUCUUGUGUACAAGACAUUACUUAGGCUCAUGGGCUUUCAGAUUAGAAUUUGCUCUUUCAAGCAUCUGCUUCCACCGGCUUGGUUCCCCAGUGACACUGUAACAUAGCUUCCAUCCAGGUACUUGCGCAGAUUGCAGUAGAAUUUGAGGAAGGAGUACCUGAGAUGCUUCACGGAGGGGAGAUGGUGCUGAAGCCCCCUCUGAGCAGGAGGGUGGCUGGGAAGGGAUGCUGGCUAAAGGAGACAGUGAAGCAGAGGCCCUAGGCAACUCAGGCAUGGUGGCACUUCCAGAAAGGAAGGUAGGUUGUUUUUUGUUGAAGUAUAAGCAUUAGUGGGGAAGGAUGUUAGGAAAUGAAGCCAGACUGGUAUCCAUGGGCCAGGUGGUGGAGAACCUUGCAUGUCUUCCAUUUGGCAGAUACUUAUUGGAUAGCUUGUGAACCAGGUACUGCUGUAGACACAUAAUGGUCACUGCUCAUAAUGGGAAGAAAUAUAUGAUUAUUAAUAAUAAUAAUAUCCUAUGAGUGCAUAUAAGCUACAGUAUAAUGACCAGUGGUAAGAGGAAGUUUUGAGGUCAAUAAAAAUGGGACCAUUUUAGGGGACCAGGAAAGGUUGGUUGAAGAACCAGUAGGGUGAAUGACCUCCAGUGUUCAGGCCUGAAGCGAUAUGCAAGUGACCUGAGGUUGAGCUGGAGAGACAGACAGCUCAGUGGUUAAGUGUUCAACAUAUACUGCUCUUGCAAAGUCUCUGGAGGUGUUCAGGUCUCAGCAACCAUGUUAGGUCACAUCCAAGGGCAUUUGAUGUGUCUAUCCUCCAUGGGUACCUGCAUUCAUGUGCACAUACACAUACAUUCACACACACACACACACACACACACACAUGUGUACUCAUACAUACACAUGCAUAAUUUUUAAAAACUUGUAAAAGCCCUAAAGUUAGACUGGCUCUUGCCUGUUUAAGGAAAUCUUAAGAGUUAAGUGUGUCUGAGUAUCACGGAGGGAGAGGAUUAGAAUAUAGAGUCUAGAAAACUAAGUAAGGAUUCAGAGGUGAAGUGGGGAAUGACUGGAGAGUUUGGGGUGGAGGGAAGGAUAAUCUACUGUGUGGUUUUGAAAGGAUGCAUUGUAGUGGACAGAAAGCCAAGAAACCAGUGAGGGAGUUAUUGCAGUAAUGGCGGUAAGAAAUGGCAGCUUGGACCAGGGUGGCUACAGUGUGGGGGAGCUUACUGAGAAAGUGUUUGCCAUCUAUGAUAAGCAUCCAUUGGAGGAUUCUGAUCCAUAGGACUGGGGAGAUAGCUCAGUGGUUAUUAGCAGUGGCUGCUCUUCUGGAGGACCUGGGGUUGAUUCCCAGCAGCUGCAUGUCAUUUCACAACUGUAUAACUCCAGUUCCAGGGGAUCCAGCACCCACUUUUGGCCUCUAAAGGCACCAGGCAUGCACAUAGCAUGUAGAUAUACUUGUAGAUAGAUAAAUGCUGAUACACAAAAAUAAAAGUUAAAUAAACCUUUUAAAAAGUCUGAUCCAUGGGAUGACAGAAUUUGUGUGUU